CCUACGGGAGGCAGCAGUGGGGAAUAUUGCACAAUGGGGGAAAGCCUGACGCAGCGACGCCGCGUGAGGGAUGAAGGAUUUCGGUAUGUAAAGCUCUAUCAGCAGGGAAGAAAAUGACGGUAGCUGACUAAGAAGCCCCGGAUAACUCCGUGAAAGCAGCCGCGGUCAUACGUAGGGGGCACGGGGUAUCCGGAUUUACUGGGUGGAAAGGGAGCGUAGACGGUCCUGCAAGCCAGAUGUGAAAGCCCGGGGCUCAACCCCGGGACUGCAUUUGAAACUGUAAGGCUAGAGUGUCGGAGAGGCAGGCGGAAUUCCUAGUGUAGCGGUGAAAUGCGUAGAUAUUAGGAGGAACACCAGUGGCGAAGGCGGCCUUCUGGACGAUGACUGACGUUGAGGCUCGAAAGCGUGGGGAGCAAACAGGAUUAGAUACCCCAGUAGUC
rnacentral:rRNA from 1 species